rnacentral:lncRNA from 1 species
GGACAGUGGAGUCACACGUUCAUUUGUGCAGAAACAAUCCUUAACAAGAUUGCUUGUGUCCUCAAAGGUAGUUUCUGUCCAACGUGGAGCCUGGUGAACCUGAUGGGCGGUGAGCUUACUGGAGCGCAGUGCAGCCAGAGACAUGAGGGUUCGGCGCGUUCCAGUAUUCCCCUUUGAACAAUCCCGUCACGGGAUUUCGAUUUUGGUGACGUUCGGCUUGUUUAUUCUUUUGAAAACAGCUACUUCUUCAAGGGAUGCCUGCACCAUCUGCGACGGAAACAACUCCACCUGCGUUGACGGUGCGUGUCUACCCGCUGCCUCAACCUGACGUCAUCUGGAGAGUGUCUGCAGUGUCGAGAUUCCAGGUUUUAUGGCGAACAGUGUGAAAACAGGUGUCCAGAUACAUGUAAAAACUCUCGUUGUCGGGUGAAUAACUCUCGCGUU